ACGAGUUUGUUUGUUGCAAGUUCAUAAUGUAUUUAUAGUUUGUGUUUUAUCAUGUGGUGGAUUUGUUAGUGGUGUAUUUGAUAGUGGAAGUACGAUUGAGUUUUGUAUACUCUUGUAUAGUCUUGAACGAACUGGUAUUUUAUUGUUAAACGCUGUUUAUUGAAGGAAAAGAGUGUUAUAAUUUUUUUGGGGUGAAGGAAGUAUGCCGUUCAGCACAGAGGUGGUGUGAACUUCAUUAUGCUACGAUAAAAAAUAAGCGCGAAGACUAUGUUGGCUACUAUGUCGUUGGUUACUAUGUCGUAGUGACCUGUACCUAAUUUGAUUGGUUUGCAAUGGGAUUACUGAAUAAAACAAGGAUUGGCUCCACCAUGUAAAACAAUACUGCAAGAUGUGAAUAUUGGCUUGCUGUCUGGAAGGCGAUUGUUGGAUGUACCUUUUGAACGUAACCUGUAUAAAGCCCUUAACCACUGAAUGGGUCAAUUUAAGGAGCCUAGGAUGGUUUGUGGCCACUUGUCUAAAACGUUCACUCUUGGCCAAAUGUGGUGCUGAUGCGGAAGGAAAUUGAACUUCAUUGCAAAACAGGUUUGUUACUGGUUAGUCGCACAAGCAGCGCCUAUGUUAAGAGAAGGUUAAACUCCAGUCUAUUUUUUCUCAUUCAUUUUAAUGUAAUUUAUAAAUAUCACAUAUUC